UACAGAGGGAGCGAGCGUUGUUCGGAAUUAUUGGGCGUAAAGGGUGCGUAGGCGGUGCGGUAAGUCAGAUGUGAAAGCUCCUGGCUCAACUGGGAGCUUGCAGGCGAAACUGCCGUGCUGGAGUGUGGGAGAGGUGCGUGGAAUUCCUGGUGUAGCGGUGAAAUGCGUAGAUAUCAGGAGGAACACCUGUGGCGAAAGCGGCGCACUGGACCACAACUGACGCUGAGGCGCGAAAGCGUGGGGAGCAAACAGG
rnacentral:rRNA from 1 species